GUGGGCGUAGCUCAGUUGGUAGAGCACGGGAUUGUGACUCCCGUUGUCGUGGGUUCGAUCCCCAUCGUCCACC
rfam:Pseudomonas fluorescens F113, complete genome.